UUGGAGGGCAAGUCUGGUGCCAGCAGCCGCGGUAAUUCCAGCUCCAAUAGCGUAUAUUAAAGUUGUUGCAGUUAAAAAGCUCGUAGUUGAAUUUCGGGAUCAAAUAAUCGGUCGUGCCUCCGGUACGUACUGGUUUUAUUGGUUCCUCCCUUCUGACGAACCAUGAUGUCAUUAAUUUGAUGUGGUGGAGAAUCAGGACUGUUACCUUGAAAAAAUUAGAGUGUUUAAAGCAGGCUAACGCUUGAAUACAUUAGCAUGGAAUAAUGAAAUAGGACGUUCGACCCUAUUUUGUUGGUUUCUAGGAUUGACGUAAUGAUUAAUAGGGAUAGUUGGGGGCAUUAGUAUUCAAUUGUCAGAGGUGAAAUUCUUGGAUUUAUUGAAGACUAACUACCGCGAAAGCAUUUGCCAAGGAUGUUUUCAUUAAUCAAGAACGAAAGUUAGGGGAUCGAAGACGAUCAGAUACCGUCGUAGUCUUAACCAUAAACUAUGCCGACUAGGGAUCGGAUGAUGUUAAUUUUUUAAUGACUCAUUCGGCGCCUUACGGGAAAC
rnacentral:rRNA from 1 species